GGAUCCCAUCAGAACUCCGCAGUUAAGCGUGCUUGGGCGAGAGUAGUACUAGGAUGGGUAACCUCCUGGGAAGUCCUCGUGUUGCACCU
rnacentral:rRNA from 1 species